rnacentral:lncRNA from 1 species
CUAUAAACCACAAAUAUUCAAUGACAAGUUUAUUCCCUAGAAAUCAACAAUCUCCUUGACAAUUGCAAAUGCUUCUUUAUCAUGUAAUUACACAACCCAAUCUUCUUCCAACUCAAUCACAAGUUUCACUAUUUGGAAGACUUUAAAAGUGAAAAUCAAAAUCAUCAAGGAAAUAUUUUGGCAUCCUCCUAUCAUUAACUGGGUAAAGUGUAAUAGUGAUGGAGGUUCAAAUGGAAACCCUGGUUUGGCAUCCUAUGGAGGUGUUUUCAGAAGUCAUGAUACAGAUUUUCUAGGUUGCAUUGAUGACCCUUCAGGCUUAACAUCCUCUUAUCAAGCUAAAUUUAUUGGUGUUAUAAUAACAAUGGAAAUUGCUUAUGAUAACCAUUGGAAUUUUUUUUCUUCAAGAAACUAAUUCAAUUCUGGUUGUUAAGGCUUUUAAGGAUUCCUCUUAUAUUGCUUGGUGCUUAAGAAAGAGAUGGACAAAUAUGAAAGAUCAUUCUCAGAGAAAUGAAUUACAUUGUUACACACAUCUAUAAGAUCAUUAAAAGAUCAAGAUGUGGAAGAGUUUCAACAUCUGAUAUGAUCUUUUGAAUUUAUUAAGAAGAUUUGCA